rnacentral:misc_RNA from 1 species
AAAGGAUUUGCCCCCUUCUCCUUUAAUUUUUUUUUUUAAAAAGUCAUCUCCUUUAAUUUUUCCCUUUCUCUUUUAAUUUUUAUCCUUUUUAAAGUAGAUUUGUCCCUUCCAACUUAUUGCUACUGAUAAACAGCUAGAAACAUGUAUUAAAAUCUAAUUGUGAGUUUUCAAAUGUGAUUGGAGUUAGUGAUCUUGCUGAGAAAAUAAUAAAAACAAUAAAGCUUAUUUUUGUACAUGUUAGUUUACAAGUUUAUAUAAUCUUAUCUAUUGCAACAUCUAUUGAAAGUGCGUUUUCUGAUAUAAAAAUUCUGAAUGAUUGGUUACGUAAUAAAAUUGGAGAUCAAUAAAUGGUCAAUUGUUUGAUCACAUAUAUUGAUAGGAUAUUAAGAUUGAUAACGAAACUGUAAUGCAACGUGAAAACUCAUAAAAUACAAC